UCCGGUAUGGUGUAGUGGCUAACAUUUCGCGCUCUCAUAACCUGAGAGAUCAGUACCGCGGUUCGAUUCCCUGUACCGGAG